rnacentral:rRNA from 1 species
GUGGGGAAUAUUGGGCAAUGGGGGAAACCCUGACCCAGCAACGCCGCGUGAGGGAAGAAGGUUUUCGGAUUGUAAACCUCUGUCCUUGGUGACGAAGGAAGUGACGGUAACCAAGGAGGAAGCCCCGGCUAACUACGUGCCAGCAGCCGCGGUAAUACGUAGGGGGCAAGCGUUGUCCGGAAUGACUGGGCGUAAAGGGCGUGUAGGCGGCCGAUUAAGUCUGGAGUGAAAGUCCUGCUUUCAAGGUGGGAAUUGCUUUGGAGACUGGUUGGCUUGAGUGCGGAAGAAGUAAGUGGAAUUCCCAGUGUAGCGGUGAAAUGCGUAGAGAUUGGGAGGAACACCAGUGGCGAAGGCGACUUACUGGGCCGUAACUGACGCUGAGGCGCGAAAGCGUGGGGAGCGAACAGGAUUAGAAACCCUUGUAAUCC